GUGUGUGCAGUGUUGGUGUUUGAAUGCAGGGUGUAUGUGUGUGCAGUGUUGGUGUUUGAAUGCAGGGUGUAUGUGUGUGCAGUGUUGGUGUUUGAAUGCAGGGUGUAUGUGUGUGCAGUGUUGGUGUUUGAAUGUAGGGGUGUAUGUGUGUGCAGUGUUGGUGUUUGAAUGCAGGGUGUAUGCGUGUUCAAUGUUGGCGUUUGAAUGCAGGGUGUAUGUGUGUGCAGUGUUGGUGUUUGAAUGCAGGGUGUAUGUGUGUGCAGUAUUGGUGUUUGAAUGCAGGGUGUAUGUGUGUGCAGUGUUGGUGUUUGAAUGCAAGGUGUAUGUGUGUGCAGUGUUGGUGUUUGAAUGCAGGGUGUAUGUGUGUGCAGUGUUGGUGUUUGAAUGCAGGGUGUAUGUGUGUGCAGUGUUGGUGUUUGAAUGCAGG